AAAAGGGAGUUGCUAAAUAACGUUCGUCCAGGCUGGGACAAGCUCUGACAAAUACUUUUGAGGAUGUUUGGUGAAUUUGUUGAAUUGUUAUAGUCAUAAACCAGUCUUUUCAAGAGGAGAGGUGACAAUGAAAAUAGUCAAGGACUGGUUUAAAGAGGAGAAAACUCUUAUUGGCUGGACCAUCAUGGAAAAGGCCAUGAGAGCAGCAGUGGGUAAAGCACAGUGGGUUUGGUGAACCUGAGCUUCACGAUGCUCACUGACUUCAUUGCCUUGGCCCUGAGCAUGUGUGGAUGCCCACAGAUGAGAUAAAGCAUGGUCAGAACAGGCCAGGGGAGGAGAACAGAGGCAGGAGAUCAGGCACAGCUACUCUGUGAGCUUGGAGAGCUGGCUGGGGCCUGGGACCACAGUGGGACAGAGGAGCUGUGCUGGAACGUUAAGUUGGCACACUAACGCUUUCAUGUGAAGUGUGUAACCUUUCCAGAAAAUUAUGUAUUACCAGCGUGAGGCUGGAGUACAUAUGUUUACUUAAAAGACCUGCUUGUGCUCAAUUUUUAAUGCAUUGAUCUUUUUUCUUCUUUUCAUUGUUUCUGUUUAUCUACUAUUAUCUUCCUUGGUGGUAAAAACAGCCAAAAUAACUCUCAAGAAUUGCAAUUACAGAUAAUGUGGCAGCUAGAGAAGUAUUUACGCUGUUCUUGUUGGAAUGAUCUUAACAGAAAGGCAGCAAACUCUGGACAUAGGCAGAUCAACAGAAAAAGGAGAUUAGUGAAACAAAAAUACAUUUGUAAGAAGGUAACUCUGGGAUUUUGUAGCAUACUUCAGUAAAGCUCAGAAAGCUCAGAAAGAUGGUGACGAUAUGCAGGAAAUAUAUACCAUCCAGUGUUGAAAAGACUGAAGGAAAAAUUUGGUGUUACUGGAAUGAUAGAAACUGAAUGCCCUGACACUGUUGUGCAAAGAUAUGUGGAGAAAGCCUAUUUAAGAGAUUAUGGGAAUUCAUCAAGCACAAACAGCUGUGAAGGCAGCCUUAACUUUUGAGAUUGAUGGGAUUUUUGCAAUACAGAACACUUUAAUUACUUAAUUUAGGUGCUGGUGCAUUUCUUGUCAGCAUACUUACUUUUGGCACUGGUGUCCCAGUGUUUGAAAACACUGCAUCAUAUAUGGAAGCAGCAAUUGCCCAUGCACGCCCUUGCACUAUGAAAUGCCCGGGGUAGACUCUAACAUUUCAGUUGUUUAUCACAUACAACCGCGGUAUGACAGGCUGGCUAAAUACAGUAAAACAGGAGAAGAAGAAUGUGGGACCGCA
rnacentral:lncRNA from 13 species